rnacentral:pre_miRNA from 1 species
UUUUUAGUAUAAGUAUGCUCAUGCAGUAUUUGGGACAUAUUUAUACUAAAA